UUGCACCUACCGAGUGGGGUAACGGAAACGUCCCCAAAAUAAUCCUAUGGAUGUUUUGACAGCUCGUAGUAGGUGCAUUU
rnacentral:sRNA from 12 species